rnacentral:rRNA from 1 species
AUUUUUUGAGAGUUUGAUCCUGGCUCAGGAUGAACGCUGGCAGUAUGCUUAACACAUGCAAGUCGUACGGAAGAAAAGCAAUUUUCUUUAGUGGCGGACGGGUGAGUAACGCGUAAGAAUCUUCCCUUUAGAGUGGUAUAACCUUUGGAAACGAUGGUUAAUCCCGCAUAUGAGGCCUCUGGUCUUGAAAGGUGCAGCAAUGUAUCGCUAUAGGAUGAGCUUGCGUCUGAUUAGCUAGUUGGUGAGGUAAUGGCUCACCAAGGCGAUGAUCAGUAGCUGGUUUGAGAGAACGACUAGCCACACUGGGACUGAGACACGGCCCAGACUCCUACGGGAGGCAGCAGUGGGGAAUUUUUCGCAAUGGGCGCAAGCCUGACGGAGCAAUACUGCGUGGAGGAUGAAGGCUCGUGGGUUGUAAACUCCUUUUACGAGAGAAGAAAACAUUGACGGUAUCUCGUGAAUAAGCAUUGGCUAACUACGUGCCAGCAGCUGCGGUAAUACGUGGAAUGCAAGCGUUAUCCGGAUUUAUUGGGCGUAAAGCGUCUGUAGGUUGCUUCGCAAGUUUGCUGUUAAAUUGUUCGGCUCAACCGAAUCCCAGCAGCAAAAACUAUGAAGCUUGAGUGUGGUAGAGGAAAAAGGAAUUCCCUGUGGAGCGGUGAAAUGCGUAGAGAUAGGGAAGAACACCAAUGGCGAAAGCAUUUUUCUGGGCCUGCACUGACACUGAGAGACGAAAGCUAGGGGAGCGAGCGGGAUUAGAUACCCCGUUAGUCCUAGCCGUAAACGAUGGAAACUUGAUCUUGGGGUCCACAAGACUUCAUGGUCGUAGCUAACGCGUUAAGUUUCCCGCCUGGGAAGUAUGCUCGCAAGAGUGAAACUCAAAGGAAUUGACGGGAGCCCGCACAAGCGGUGGAUUAUGCGGUUUAAUUCGAUGCAACACGAAGAACCUUACCAGGGCUUGACAUGUCACGAAGAAGGCAGAAACGUCUUUGUGCUGGUUUACUCCAGAACGUGAACACAGGUGGUGCACGGCUGUCGUCAGCUCGUGUCGUAAGAUGUUGUGUUAAGUCACGCAACGAGCGCAACCCUCGUGCUUUGUUCAAUUUAGUCAAAGCAGACUGCUGGUGAGAAAUCAGAGGAAGGUGAGGAUGAUGUCAAGUCAGCAUGCCCCUUACGCCCUGGGCUACACGCGUAAUACAAUGGCCAAUACAAAGAGAAGCAAAGGGGCGACCCCAAGCAAACCUCAAAAAGUUGGUCUCAGUUCAGAUUGUAGGCUGCAACUCGCCUACAUGAAGGUGGAAUCGCUAGUAAUCGUUGGUCAGCCAUACAACGGUGAAUCCGUUCCCGGGCUUUGUACACACCGCCCGUCACACCAUGGGAGCUGACUAUGCCCAAAGUCGUUACUCCAACGUUUUACGAGGGGGAUGCCUAAGGCAGAGUGAGUGACUGGGGUGAAGUCGUAACAAGGUAGCCGUUCUGGAAGGAGUGGCUGGAACACCUCCUUA